rnacentral:rRNA from 1 species
AGAGUUUGAUCAUGGCUCAGAUUGAACGCUGGCGGCAUGCCUUACACAUGCAAGUCGAACGGAUUGAGGGGCUUGCUCCUCAGUUAGUGGCGAACGGGUGAGUAAUGCAUCGGAACGUGCCCAGUCGUGGGGGAUAACUACUCGAAAGAGUAGCUAAUACCGCAUACGCCCUGAGGGGGAAAGCGGGGGACUCGCAAGAGCCUCGCGCGAUUGGAGCGGCCGAUGUCAGAUUAGCUAGUUGGUAGGGUAAAAGCCUACCAAGGCGACGAUCUGUAGCUGGUCUGAGAGGACGACCAGCCACACUGGGACUGAGACACGGCCCAGACUCCUACGGGAGGCAGCAGUGGGGAAUUUUGGACAAUGGGCGAAAGCCUGAUCCAGCCAUGCCGCGUGAGUGAAGAAGGCCUUCGGGUUGUAAAGCUCUUUCGGACAGAAAGAAAUCGCAUGAACUAAUACUUUGUGCGGAUGACGGUACUGUAAGAAGAAGCACCGGCUAACUACGUGCCAGCAGCCGCGGUAAUACGUAGGGUGCGAGCGUUAAUCGGAAUUACUGGGCGUAAAGGGUGCGCAGGCGGUUAUAUAAGACAGAUGUGAAAUCCCCGGGCUCAACCUGGGAACUGCGUUUGUGACUGUAUGACUAGAGUACGGUAGAGAGGGGUGGAAUUCCUGGUAGCAGUGAAAUGCGUAGAUAUCAGGAGGAACAUCGAUGGCGAAGGCAGCCCCUUGGACCUGUACUGACGCUCAUGCACGAAAGCGUGGGGAGCAAACAGGAUUAGAUACCCUAGUAGUCC